rnacentral:misc_RNA from 1 species
AAGUCGUAACAAGGUUUCCGUAGGUGAACCUGCGGAAGGAUCAUUAUCCUUAGCGUAGUAUUACUACUAAUACUACAAGCGCGACACUUUGUGUGUUUGCGUUAAAAUCCACAUCAGCUUUGAUUCACGUCAGAGUUGAUCUCAAAUCCAUGCUUGCACUAUGUAAACAUGGUCGGGUACCUAUGUUUGUUCAUUCUCUAUGGAUGAGCAUAACAUAAGCGGCGUGUGCUAUACGCGCCGUGUGGCUUAAUGAUUAUUCAAUCUUUACUUGAAUAACGCCCGUACUAGCAUAUUAAUUUUAUACUAUUUUAAAAAUCGCAUUAAUUUACUUUGUGUCAUAUCGUAUUCUUGUAAUACUUAAACACAAAUACAACCCUAUGCGGUGGAUCACUUGGCUC